rnacentral:rRNA from 1 species
GACGAACGCUGGCGGCGUGCUUACCACAUGCAAGUCGACCGGAAAGGCCUGGCUUUUGGGGGGUGCCCGGGGGGCGAACGGGGGAGUACCACGGGAGUAACCUGCCCUUGACUUUGGUAUAACUUCAGGAAACUGGGGCUAAUACCGGAUAGGAGCUCCUGCUGCAGGGUGGGGGUUGGAAGGUUUCGGCGGUUGGGGAGGGACUGGCGGCUUCUCAGCUUGUGGGUGGGGUAUUGGCUGACCAAGGCUUUGCCGGGUGGCCCGCCCGGGAGGGGGAACGGGCAAAAUGGGACUGAGAGACGGCCCAGACCCCUACGGGAGGCAGCAGUUGGGAAUAUUGCACCAUGGGCGGAAGCCUGAUGCAGCAACGCCGCGUGCGGGAUGACGGCCUUCGGGUUGUAAACCGCUUUCGCCUGUGACGAAGCGUGAGUGACGGUAAUGGGUAAAGAAGCACCGGCUAACUACGUG